rnacentral:ncRNA from 1 species
CUAAAAGUUUUGUCCCAGCUUUAAAGUCAACUAUUGCCAAUAUUACACAUGCAAGCAUCCGCUCACCAGUGAGUAAAGCCCACAUAAACAAGGAGCUGAUAUCAGGCACAACAAAAAGUUAGCCUAUAACAUCUAGUUUAGCCACACCCCCAAGGGCUCACAGCAGUGAUAAACAUUAGUAAAUAAGCACGUAAACUUGAGCUAGAUAUGGCCCAUCCGGGUUGGCCAAUCACGUGCCAGCCGCCGCGGUUACACGAGAAACCCAAGUUGACAAUUCACGGCGUAAAGUGUGAUAAAGAAUAUAUCUACAAAAUAAGACUUAAACUUAACUUAGCUGUUAUACGCAUGUUAAUGAUAAACACAAUAAACGAAAGUAGUCUCACCAUCAAGACUUUUCUUACUCACGACAACUAAAACACAAACUGGGAUUAGAUACCCCACUAUGUUUAGUCACAAACUAAAUUACUACAACCACGCCAGAAUACUACGAGCAAACGCUUGAAACUUAAAGGACUUGGCGGUGCCCAAAAUCCACCCAGAGGAGCCUGUUCUAUAAUCGACAACCCCCGCUUAACCUCACCACUCUUUGCUUAACAGUCUAUAUACCUCCGUCUCCAGCUCACCCUACUGAAGGACAACUAAUGAGCAAAAUUAACCAAUUAAAAACGUCAGGUCAAGGUGUAGCAUACAGAGUGGACAAGAAAUGGGCUACAUUUUCUUACUAAGAACACACGGAUAUAUAAUGAAAAAAAUAUUAGAAGGCGGAUUUGGCAGUAAAAAGAAACAAUAGAGUUCUUUUUAAGAUGGCCCUUGGGCGCGCACACACCGCCCGUCACCCUCUUUAACAUACAUAAAACAAAUAAAUAAACCACCUUAAUUUUAACGGAAGAAGAGGAAAGUCGUAACAUGGUAAGCGUACUGGAAAGUGCUCUUGGAAUAAU